UAGGGAAUAUUGCACAAUGGAGGGAACUCUGAUGCAGCGACGCCGCGUGAACGAAGAAGGCUUUCGAGUCGUAAAGUUCUUUUAUAUGGGAAGAUAAUGACGGUACCAUAAGAAAAAGCCCCGGCUAACUACGUGCCAGCAGCCGCGGUAAUACGUAGGGGGCUAGCGUUGUCCGGAAUCACUGGGCGUAAAGGGUUCGCAGGCGGAAAUGCAAGUCAGGUGUAAAAGGCAGUAGCUUAACUACUGUAAGCAUUUGAAACUGCAUAUCUUGAGAAGAGUAGAGGUAAGUGGAAUUUUUAGUGUAGCGGUGAAAUGCGUAGAUAUUAAAAAGAAUACCGGUGGCGAAGGCGACUUACUGGGCUCAUUCUGACGCUGAGGAACGAAAGCGUGGGUAGCAAACAGG
rnacentral:rRNA from 1 species